GCCACCUUAGCUCAGCGGUAGAGCAACUGUUUUGUAAACAGUAGGUCCGCAGUUCGAAUCUGCGAGGUGGCUCAA
rnacentral:tRNA from 1 species